AGGAGGAGAGAGAGAGGAGAGAGGAGAGAGGAGGAGAGAGGAGAGAGGAGGAGAGAGAGAGGAGAGAGGAGGAGAGAGAGGAGGAGACAGGAGGAGAGAGGAGGAGAAAGAGAGGAGAGAGGAGAGAGGAGGAGAGAGAGAGGAGAGAGGAGGAGAGAGAGAGGAGAGAGAGAAGGAGCGGGAAGACAGGAGGAGGAGGAGGAAGAGGAGGUAAUACUGGAGGCUUCUCCAUCCAUCUGGUGGACUGAUGCUAUUCUAGGAGGGAUUGGAUCAUCAGAGUUAGGGUAAAAGCCAGUAUCGAACUAAUCGCCCAAACACACACACACCUGUGUGUUUCCUGUGUAUGCAUGUGUGUGUGUGGUAUACACAGACCAGAGAGUUAUUCUGUACAGCAGCAGCAUGUAGACGUGUAGUGAGUGGAUGAGUGUCAUAGUAACAGACUACCUGCUGUUCAGAUGAUUGACAGCAGUUGAACAGUACAAAACCAGAAGAAUACUAAUAAUAAAACGUAUGAUAAUGACACUAAUAUUAAAAAGGCAAAGGAUGAAUCCUCAGUUGAAACACUUAGACAUGACAGUGUGAUGGUUUGGUAAAAGAGAUUCAGGAAGGGAAAGGUAGGAAGGAUUGAUGGGUGAAUGGGUGUUAAUCAGGGCUUCAGGUAAACGACUGUGUCCUUUAGAUCUCCUGGUAUGAUGAAACAGGAAGUGUGUAUUCCUCUUCACUGUCCCUGUGAACAAACAGAACACACACGUUAGCACACACACAUCAACACACUUAAACUGGACUGACCACAUGCAGACUUUCCGCACCUCAUCCACACUCACACCCACAGAUAUACACUCAUCCACACUCACACCAACUCAUCCACACACACACCCACAGAUAUAAACUCAUCCACACACACACACACACACACACACACACACACACACACACACACACACACACACACACACACACACACACACACACACACACACACACACACACACACACACACACACACACACACACACACACACACACACACACACACACACAC
rnacentral:lncRNA from 13 species